rnacentral:lncRNA from 1 species
GAGAGACUCCACCGCCUGGCCGGUCUGUCUUUCCUAAAAAGAACAGAGCCAUCCACGACAGCACUCCAGUCGUGCGAGCUGCCCUGCCAGGUCUCCACGAUGGGAACCUAAAUCGUGCUCCUGCAGUUACACGGGAAGGAAGAGGCGGGAAAAAAAAAACCACGGUCCCAACCUGCUCGCUCCCACCGCUGGAAACGGGAUGGGUGAGAGCACCCGCAAAACACUCCGCAGUGGCCGAGGCCACCCGGGAUCGUGCUCGGUCUCGGGCGGAGGCCCCGUGCCGGUCCUACUAAAAAGCCACACGGGAGCCCAGCGGCGGCGCCGUGCCGAUCCCAAAGACAGAGGCAGUCGAGCAGCAACCCUACAGGAGCCCCAACACGAGAGAUCUUACCGAGCGACUCUCAAACACUCACCGCUUCCACGAGCUCACUGCUUCGGGCCGAUGAGAGCCUCUGCUGCAGCCCUCGCUCAGCCUGCAACACGAGAAACCUUUUGUUUCAACAACCCUUCGCUUCGCUUCCCUCUCCCGGCAGCACAGAGGCUGCACGAAUACGGCCCCAUCGCGUUCGCUCCUACCGAGGAGAGCCUGAAGAACUGAAGCACCCGCUGAAAGAAAUCCCGAGGAUGGGGGGGGCUGAGAGCACCCCGGGGCUGCGCGAGAACUCGGGGGUCUGAGCGGCAGCCGCCUCCAAGAAUGCGACGGCGGCCGGGCGACGGCGGCGAUGCCGUAUCGGCUCCGCACAGCCGGGGGAGCCCGGCGGCGACCUAACGCCGGCCCGAGAAGAGCGGGGUCCGACAGCCGCCUGCUCCGGAGAUCCUGGCGGCUCCCGAGCGCUCACCGUCCCCUUACUACUCGAACCGCUCACCUGUUUGGGCUGGUCCUUACCGCGAAAGGUCUCACAGCAGCCUGAAACAAAACGACACCACGAGAACAUUAAAGAGAACCUCAAGGCUCCGUCCCCCCCCAAAAAACCCCGCGUACCGCUUCUCAGCCUCAGCAGCGUCAGGGCCCGACAAAGAAACAGAACUCACUCCGUCUCCUAUCCACAACCGCAGAAACUCCUCCGUGGCUCCCGGCAGCCUCCGGAGGAGCUUAAGAGGCUUUGGGGCGGGCCCCGCCCGCGGCUCCCGACGAGGCGCAGCUGCGCCCGGCCGGCCGCGGCCCCGCGGCACCUGGGAGUCGUUGCCUCCUUAGCGCAGCCGGCCUCGUUAGGGACGGCCCGGGGCUCUGACAGUUUGACGUGCGGACUCCGGAUCUGAAUUAGGGACUUAAAUUACACUUUGAAGUACAGUUUGUUACGCGCUUCUCCUUCUCGCCGCACUGUGGGAUUCAUCGAUAAGUUAAGUAAUUGUGCCAAUUCAAACGGGUCGCUUUGCAUCCGACGCGACCGGCGCGAUAGAGCGUCUCCCCUCCGAAGAACGUUCCCGGCCUUAACGGUUUCCAGGGGCCCCCGAUGGGUGCGUCUCCGCUCCGCUUUCCAUCGCCCCAAUUCCGAACAAAAGAAAAAGGAAAAAAAAAAUAAAUUAAUUAAUAAGAAAAAUAAGUCUUGUUGGAACAAACGUGCAGACCUUCACUGCUCAGGGGGACUACAAACCAAAGUAAAACUAGGGGCCGGCAAAAACAUGGUGCUCCACAGUCUUAAUUUAAUAAAACCUCCUGAAACAGUGUGAAAUUCAGAAGCCUGUGGUCGGGCUGAAGCGUGGUGUGCUGGCUGGCAGAUGUUUGGAAAGGUGCUAAGAUGUAACUCUUACUGUCCAUAGAAUUUGCUGUUAACCACUUGCAAGAUACAAAGUGACGGCCAGCUGGAUGAAUAGGAGAAUGUAUGUGAACACCCGGAACUGACAGACCCGGGACAGUGCAUGUGGCUUGAAGUGGGCACUGAGAGAAAGCUCAGACAAUGUAUAUACAUGCUUUUAACAUUCAAAUUAAUUUCCAUCGGGACACGACUUAAUUAAGGAGCUGCUGCAGAAGGAAGAAGAAGAAGCGGCGUGGGGACCUGGGAGGCAGGAGCAAGCAAGAAGAGGAAGCGGAAGCGUGCAGAUGCGGGGGGGAAGGAGAGAGGCUCCCUGGGCAAAGCACCUGUCCCGUUAGCAGGGGCACAGUCACGUUUGAGUUGAGAGCUGCCGGCGCCUUUGGUGACCAGGCUGGCGUUGUGCUGGGCGACCUCCCCGUAAGCGGGGCUCGGGUCUUUGCUGUAGUUGGCCUUUUGCCUUGCUGCUCCUUUGGCUGCCUGGGGAGCGUGGCCCCCUGUAACGGAGGGCGAGAGCCACCUCUCCGCACCUGAGUGGGAAAUGGAGCUCGCCGGACCCCAAGGCCACCCUGUAAGCAGGGUAGUGCCGUUUCCCUGCCCCUCUUCCUCCCCCGGCCCCUCGGCAUCGUUGCCUGAUGGUGGCUUGUCAAUGCGACGGCCCCGUACUCGGGGUGUGCGUCACGGCAUUUGGCCGUUGGCUUUAUCUGAGAAGCCCCUUGGCACGUUGAGGUCUGUGGCCUCCGUGCAGCCUAGGGACAGGUCACAGGCUCUUGUCUGUUGCCCGUGGUUGUGGGUUUAUUCCCAGGUGUUGGCUGUGCUGCGUUGUCCUUCCCUUCUGGAAAGUCGUGCCUGUGUGUGCGUGUUCCCCUUCCUUUCCUUGUUUGUGUUUGUGGAGUGGUUGAGCGGCUGUGCUUUCCCUUUAGGCCUCCACAAAGAUGGCUGCAGCUUAGCUUUGACUUCCCAGGGGGGAAUGGAGGACUUUGGUGCAUGCCGCAAAAGGGGUGUUCCCUCUUAGUCCUGCGAGCGCAGCGAGUGUCCUGUCUUCCUACUAUUUUCCUUAGUGCAGAUCAGAGCCACACGGUAGUUCUGUGGCCAAGGCCUCCCUGUAGCCAGGGCUUGGGCCUGUCCUUGCGUGGCCGCCUGUCCUGCUGGCGGCGGUGACAGCCCCGUACUCGGGGUGUGUGUCCCAAGCUUCGGAGCCCUCUGUCCCUGAGCAGCCCGCCCGCCCUGUAAUCAGGUGUGGGGAGGCUGCAGCGUUGCAGCCGGCUGCUUUAGCCAUCCAGCUGGUGGGAGUGACCCCUCCCUGUCCCGUCAGAGGGUGCAGGUUGAGGUGCUGUUUGUGUGUGGGGUGACCUCCCCGCUCGGUGGGUCGAGGUAGCUCCCUGGGCUUCCAAAGACGAGACGUUGGUGAUGUUCUGCUGCUGCCGGGCGGGCCAGCCUGUAACUCAGGCGUUGGCGGGAGCCUCGUGCUCUGCGGGGCUUCUUGAAGAGGGUGAGGUGUGGGGGUACCGUCCUGUAGGCAGGGCUGUGUGUGCCCCCCGUGUGUGCUUGGUGAGCUGCGUUCUGAGAGACCCCCUGUACUCAGGUGGGAAUGUGGCCCCGGCCUUUCAGAGGCGCGGGGCCGUGAGAUGCGGGGUGGGGCUUGCGCCCUCCCUGGAAUCGGGGCUGGGAUCCCGACUGCGGCCUUUGGCCGUGCCGCCCCGCUGCCUGGCUGCUGAGAGUUGCUCCUGCCGCUGGGGGGAAACCGAGCUCUGUGGCUCCAGGGGUGUUGUCCACCCGCCUGUAAUCAGGGUCUGGGUGCGUGAGCGUUUGUGCUCUGCUGGCAGCCUGUGUGGGGUGACCGCCCCGCUAGCGGGGUGUGGGUCGAGGUGCCCCGGACUGGGAGAGAAGGAGCCUCCCUCGGCCGUAGGGAUGGG